CAGCAGCCACGGUAAUACAGAGGGUGCGAGCGUUAAUCGGAUUUACUGGGCGUAAAGCGUGCGUAGGCGGCUUUUUAAGUCGGAUGUGAAAUCCCUAAGCUUAACUUAGGAAUUGCAUUCGAUACUGGGAAGCUAGAGUAUGGGAGAGGAUGGUAGAAUUCCAGGUGUAGCGGUGAAAUGCGUAGAGAUCUGGAGGAAUACCGAUGGCGAAGGCAGCCAUCUGGCCUAAUACUGACGCUGAGGUACGAAAGCAUGGGGAGCAAACAGGAUUAGAUACCCGGGUAGUCCCUGUCUCUUAUAC
rnacentral:rRNA from 1 species